GUCUACGGCCAUACCACCCUGAACACAACUGAUCUCGUCUGAUCUCGUCAGCUAAGCAGGGUUGGGCCUGGUUAGUACUUGGAAGGGAGAAAGUGAAAAACAGGAGAGAGA
ensembl:rRNA 5S_rRNA 5S ribosomal RNA